AAAACCCUAAAUCUAGAUCUGCAUCUCAUUCACCGCCGCUUCUCUUCUCUUUGUGACCAACACUCUUCAGUCAUUUCUUUGUAUCUCCUCUCCCUUGAAAUUAAUCUACAUCAGUUAGGAUCACAUCUCCACUUCUUCUAGCAAAUGGAUAUCCAUAUUCGCAUAACGCUUCUUUUCUAAAACCCUAAAUUUUUCCUUCUGGUUUACUCAUCUCCAAUCCUGGAUACAAACCAUGGGCAUUUAGCCUCUUUUGGUUUGAUUUCUUCAUCAGCAUGACUGUCGUUAGCCGGUUUCAUUUUCACUGGCGUGCAACUAUCUACAUUGUUGUUGGAUCAUUAGGGGCAUGUGUCCUAACUCAUAGCCGUCUUACUCAUUUAGGUGUAUUAUCACAAAAAAUUAUUGUAUGUUCAAAGUGCCAAACGAGGUGAAGGUGUGUAUCAUGUAAGCGGUAAAAAAUGGUUCAGUUAUGCAUACGGUUGUGAUUUUGGUCGAUCUCUACCAUCGGUGGUUGUUGGUUUUAUGCAUAAGUGAGAAGAUCCUGCAAUCUAUUAUAGAGCUGCAUUUUCAUGACAGGCGGGAUAAGGAUUGAUGUAAUGGUGCUUGGUGUCAAGCGGAUGAAUGGCCUUAGCAGAGUCGAUAACAAUCGAUCACUUAAUCUUCUUUCCUACACAAUAUUCUGCAAAAGCUCUUCGAGCAGCUUCGACUCGAGCAAUGUUAAUCACUGAUGUUAUAUUUAUGUAUUUUGCGCUUUUUUCCUUGACUACAAGACCUUUAAAGUUAGAAAGAGAGAGUACUGAAAAUUGAUGAUUAAGACCUUUUCCUGUUCUGGGCUGAGUAAACGCAUUAAACCGAGGAUUUUUUUAAGUAUUUGUUCAAAACUGGUAUGGUUUGGGUUGUCCAACAAACAUUUAUAUGACGUAAAUGUUUAAAUCUUUUAUCUACCGAUAUAAUUUGCGUAGGCGUAUCAUGGCUGGUAGGGUGUAGUAGGUUUGGUUGCUUGAUGGGUUGUGGAAGUGGUUUUGGCUUGCAUGUGUGGAAACCAGGUGGAAAUGGGUGGGUUGGAUCAGCCGGAUAAUAGGUUACAAAUUGGAUUUGGUCUGCAGAUGUUAAUCCGAUUGGAAGUAUCAGUAAACAGGAUCUUAGAAUAUUUCUGAGACGGGCAGCCAUCCAUCUUGGUUUCACAUCUUUAGUCGAAAUUCAGGCUGCUCCACCAACUUGCUGAGUUGCAACCUAUACAGUCCAAUUACAACCAGUAAAGGAUGACGAAAAAACGGAACCGCACGAACAGUGAUACGACAGUUGCCGAUAUUUGCCGCUGUGAAGUCGGCCGUAUUUCUUGCCUAAAGUUUGCCAACCGCCUUGCUGCAUCUGAGGAAGCCUUGACAUUCACCACACAUACAAUGAUUGAUCAUAAAGAAAUGAAAUUUCAUGAAGCACUAUAACAAGUUAGAGCACAAAACGAAAAACUCGAAGAAGAAAUUCAUAUCAAGACCGAUUUGAGCAACAACUUGAAAAGAGCUCAAGACGAACUGAUAACGAAACUUCAAGAAGCAAAGUCGCAAUCUGAAAAACAAGCCCAACAACUGAGUAUCAAAUCUGAUGAGUUAUCUACAUUGACUCAACUCCAUCAAGACCUCAAAUCAAGUUUCCAAGAAAAAGAAUCGCCGUUAAAACACCUUAAUUCUGCAACUGAAAAGCUUCGGUAUGAAUACGGAUAAAAAGUUAAAAAGUUUGAGGGUGAAACAAAGAAGUCGUCUUGGCUCUGGAAGAAGCAAAAACCGUUUCAGAAUCUUUAAAGUCGAGUCUUGAUUCUUGCAACAUGGAGAUAGAAGAUUUAAAGAGAGUUUUACCACUUAAAGAUACAAAAAAUUGUCGAAAUAUCCGACAAAACACAAACAGCAAGGGAUCUGAUUUCGAGAGACGAGGUGAUAAGUAAACUGGAAGAAGAACUAGAGACGUUCAAGAUCGGUUGAAGUGGAAGAACGAACAGUUUCAACAUCUCGAACAGUUUCAAGAUAGAUUCAAUUGAACAGCAAAUUGAAGCAAUCGUCUGGCUGCAUGGUCAGCAACAUUUUCAGCAUCUUCCUCCAUGUUUUUUCUCCGGAAGGAGCCAAAGAAAAAUCAAUGGAUUUCCUUCUAAUUCCGUUUCUUCGUUGAUUACUCGAAACUCCUCACCAGUCAGCACUGCUGGUCUGGGUUCUGCUGUCUUCUUUCGCCAUGUCAACCCCUUUUCACUCCACGAUUGGCGUUCUAUCAAGAGGUAAGCCAAGAAGCUGAAAUCAAGAAGUUAAGAAAGAGUUUGACUUUCAAAGCAGCACCGAUGCCGAGUUUUUACAAAGAGCCCCCUCCUAAAGUGGAACUCAAGAAGAUACCAGUCACGCGGCCAAAAUCUCCAAAACUAGGGAGAAAUAAGAGCUCUGUGGCUUCAGUAAACCGGUCUGUGGACCGAACUAUGGCUGCAAUGAGCCCACGGGUCAGGGACCAGCCUGCAUCACGAUUUCCUUCUUCUUUUGAACUAGUGAUUUAAAUCAACAGGUUAUUGGAAGAUCUCUUGAUGGGCUUUCAACUGAAUCCGGUUUUGAUCUUCAAAAAGUUUUGGAACCUGGCACUUAAGGAAUAUAAUGAAAAUAAUGAAUGCGUUGAUUUUAUGGUACGUAUAUGUUUGACUAUAAUCUAAAAUCACAACUAUUUUGACCAUCAUAUGAUAUGCAGGAUACUAUUUUGCUCGGCAAAGAGUAUUUGCAUCAGACUUUUCAUUUAAAAGAAGACGAGUUUUUGACUUUUGAUGUGUUAUGUUAUCUCUUCUAUUCAUUUUUUGAGUUGCAUAGAUAAUUUAUGAUUUCUUCAUUUAAAUUCUAAAGUGGGGGCAUUUAGGCUUAUUUAGCA